AAUAAGCGGAGGAAAAGAAACCAACAGGGAUUGCCUCAGUAACGGCGAGUGAAGCGGCAACAGCUCAAAUUUGAAAUCUGGCGCAAGCCCGAGUUGUAAUUUGUAGAGGAUGCUUCUGGGCAGCGGCUGGUCUAAGUUCCUUGGAACAGGACGUCAUAGAGGGUGAGAAUCCCGUAUGCGACCAGCUGGCACCCGUCACGUAGCUCCUUCGACGAGUCGAGUUGUUUGGGAAUGCAGCUCUAAAUGGGAGGUAAAUUUCUUCUAAAGCUAAAUACCGGCCAGAGACCGAUAGCGCACAAGUAGAGUGAUCGAAAGAUGAAAAGCACUUUGGAAAGAGAGUUAAACAGCACGUGAAAUUGUUGAAAGGGAAGCGCAUGCAACCAGACUUGUCGGCGGUGUUCCGCCGGGCUUCUGCCCGGUCCACUCGCCGCCGGCAGGCCAGCAUCGCCUGGGACCGCUGGACAAAGGCGUCGGGAAUGUGGCUCCCCUCGGGGAGUGUUAUAGCCCGGCGCACAAUACAGCGCGCCCCGGACGAGGUCCGCGCUUCGGCUAGGAUGCUGGCGUAAUGGUUGUAUGCGGCCCGUCUUGAAACACGGACCAAGGAGUCUAACAUCUAUGCGAGUGUUCGGGUGUCAAACCCCUACGCGUAAUGAAAGUGAACGGAGGUGGGAACUUUUUGUGCACCAUCGACCGAUCCUGAUGUCUUCGGAUGGAUUUGAGUAAGAGCAUAGCUGUUGGGACCCGAAAGAUGGUGAACUAUGCCUGAAUAGGGUGAAGCCAGAGGAAACUCUGGUGGAGGCUCGCAGCGGUUCUGACGUGCAAAUCGAUCGUCAAAUUUGGGUAUAGGGGCGAAAGACUAAUCGAACCAUCUAGUAGCUGGUUC
rnacentral:rRNA from 1 species